rnacentral:rRNA from 1 species
AACGAACGCUGGCGGCAGGCUUAACACAUGCAAGUCGAGCGCCCCGCAAGGGGAGCGGCAGACGGGUGAGUAACGCGUGGGAAUCUACCCAUCCCUACGGAAUAGCUCCUGGAAACUGGAAUUAAUACCGUAUACGCCCUACGGGGGAAAGAUUUAUCGGGGAUGGAUGAGCCCGCGUUGGAUUAGCUAGUUGGUGGGGUAAAGGCCUACCAAGGCGACGAUCCAUAGCUGGUCUGAGAGGAUGAUCAGCCACAUUGGGACUGAGACACGGCCCAAACUCCUACGGGAGGCAGCAGUGGGGAAUAUUGGACAAUGGGGGCAUCCCUGAUCCAGCAAUGCCGCGUGAGUGAUGAAGGCCUUCGGGUUGUAAAGCUCUUUUAUCAGGGAAGAUAAUGACGGUACCUGAUGAAUAAGCUCCGGCUAACUUCGUGCCAGCAGCCGCAGUAA